UAGAAACUCACUGUGUAUACAACUUCUAUGUGACAGCAGGAAGACUCAUUCAGGUCUUCAUCUCUUGUUUUCUCUGCCUUCAAAUUCAUUCUACCUGAGGACACCACAAUUUCCUUUUUUUUUUUUCAAACAUGUUUGUAUAUACUUAAUGAAAUUUUUUGCCUUGAUAGUAGAGCAAUUACUAUAUUUCUCUUUUGUUGAGCCCAGACCUAGCCAAGGCUGGUCCUUGGCAUUUUUUUUUUAAAUUAGAAAAAGAAAGUAGCAUUUCCUUCAUCAAAACAUGUAUGUGAUUAUUUUAGGUUCCUUCCCCCCCUCCCCAAGUACCUUUGUAGUUUGAGCUGCAACAAAAUACCACAACAAACAGUUUGGCUUAAGCAACAAAAGGAUUAUUUUUCUCUUAGGGAUUUGGGGACUGGAAGGAUCACCAGGAUCAAGAAGCUAGUCAGGUUGGUUUCUAGUGAGAGCUCUCUCCUUGGCUUACAAAUAGCCCUUUAAUCUUAAUUCCUUCCUUAAAGGCCCUGUCGUCUGUGUAGUCCUGUUCAGAACUACAACUUUACCUGAACUUUGGAGAUAAUGCAGUUCACUCCUGAACAGCUCUCACCACCCUUCCUUCCAAACUAAUAUUCCUUCCUCCACCAGUCCAACAUUUGUGCCCCCAAAUCUCCAGUUUUCUUCCCAAAAGAUGUCCUAUCUAGCUAUAAAACUUUUCCACCUUCUGAAGACCAGUGCGUAACCAUUCUUAUCUGUUAUUCACACAGUUAUUACUAAGAUUAACUUCUUAAAACAGUAAAGCAAGCAUUGGUUUAUGGCCAUGAAAAGCAGGGGUGUUUACCUUUUGUCUCACAAUUGAAUUGUGAGCUUAUUAUUGAGAGAAAACUGGAAAGCUGCCCAGAACAAGGAAAUCUGUACAGAAUGAGAGGCACAAAACCCAAGGGGCACAUCAGAAGCGUGUAUGCUGCAAAAUGCCUCUCCUGGGCAAAUAACCCUGCUAUCUGAAGGUUUGUGUUUUGUGUAAACCUUACAAAACUUAGGAUGAUGUACCCACUUUACAAAGGAGGAUGCUGGAGCUCAGUGAGGGUAAGAUCAUGUAAUUAAUAAAGGAACUGUGAUAUCCAGCCCAGGCUUCUGAAGCCCGGUGCACUUUAAUCUCAUUUCGUAGUGUAAUGUUGACAGGUUAAUGACGAAAGAACUGACUGUUCCACCUUGGCGUGGCACUGGUAAACACAGAUGAUUCUUCUUUGCCAGGCUCCAUUCAGUACAGUGUAGGUGGGGGCAGAGGACUGGACAUGCUUACAUGGAAAGGACUAUGAUUUGUGUGACCUCUUUUGGCAGGUACUUUUCACUGUAUUUUAAGUUUACAUUUAUACCCUUUAACCUAUAUCACUCCCUUUCUAGUGGCUACUGAUAAAGAAGUAAUAAGAAUCUAUACAAAUCGCUUUUUAGGAUAUCCCUUAGAGAACAUUUUACUAGUAAGAAGAUGCGCAAACCAGACAGAGGGAACAGGGCAUACAAGAGAGGGCAGUGGGAGAGAAGGCUGAAAUAGAAACAGUAUAAAAGCCGAGUGGUGGGGAGGUGGAGGCAGGUGGAUCUCUGUGAGUCUGAGGCCAGCCUUAUCUAUAGAGUAAGUUCCAGAACGGCCAGGGCUACACAGAAAACCCUAUCUCG
rnacentral:lncRNA from 1 species